rnacentral:rRNA from 1 species
GAAUUGACGGGGACCCGCACAAGCAGCGGAGCGUGUGGUUUAAUUCGUUGCUACACGAAGAACCUUACCUGGGUUUGACAUAUAGGUUGUAGGGAACUGAAAGGGACCGACCCUUCGGGGAGCCUAUACAGGUGUUGCAUGGCUGUCGUCAGCUCGUGUCGUGAGAUGUUCGGUUAAGUCCGCUAACGAGCGCAACCCUCGUCGUAUGUUAUAUGUGUCAUACGAGACUGCCGGUAAAAAGCCGGAGGAAGGUGAGGAUGAUGUCAAGUCAGCAUGACCUUUAUAUCCAGGGCUACACACACGCUACAAUGGUCUGUACAAUGGGUAGCCAAGCCGCGAGGCGGAGCCAAUCCUGAAAGCAGGCCUCAGUUCAGAUUGCAGUCUGCAACUCGACUGCAUGAAGCCGGAGUUGCUAGUAACCGCAGGUCAGCAAUACUGCGGUGAAUACGUUCCCGGGUCUU